UAGACACGGAAUAUUGCACCCCAGGCGGUCCAACCCCACAGACUUCACUCUUAGGCACCACCUCGUCUUUUGUUAAUAUCUCAACCUCGGGCUCUGACGCUAAGCAGGCCUCCACCUUGGUGCCAAUUUUUGUCUCACCCGAGCCCUAGCACAAUGCAAUCUCGCGCUGGGAGUACGGUCCCGCAGGGGGCGGGAGAGCCCAGGCCAGAGACUCGGGAACAUUCUUUUCUAAGCUCGAUUGUUUUCUCCCUCAGAGCACACCAGCACCCAGGGCCAUUGCAGAAGAACCUCGAGGUCAGCAGAGGCCCUCGGAAGGGCGCCACAGUGGCUGAAGCUGGCGUCUUAGGGUUUAAAACCUGCACCCCGCCGGGUGUUGGGACCACGUGCUGCGCCUUCGAAAGGUGACGGCGGCCGGGCUGCAGUGCCCAGUGGCGGGAGAUGGCGCAGGGAACGCCGCAGCCCCCAGUGGCGACGGGGGCGGGUGCUGCGUGGCAGAACUGGCCUCAGCGCUGAGUGGAGAGAAUUAUCUGGAGCGUGCUUGAUCUGGGGCUGCGUAGUCAGCUUCUGCUUUAUUUGUUUGUUUGUAAUCUCAUAUUUAGCAAGCCAGGACGGUGGCAGCGAGGGAGAAAGGAAGGGAUGGAGGAGGGGGCUUCGCGCUAACCACACCCCUUCCUAAUGAGUUAAUUUCCAUAUUUGCGUCUCCCGCUUCUAGCGCCCUCUCUUUCCGGGCGCCUCCGUACAGCGGCGUCUUGCGCAGCUCAGACACUCUCCACUUAGGAAUGAAACAAAAAAGCCCCGGAUAGAACCUAGAAAUUAUAUUCUCUUCAAGAUCCAUGAAAGAGAACCUGACUGCUUGCUUUGGUCUGAGAGUUCAGACAUCUCUUCUCUUAAGAAAGUCUUCAUUUCCGUUUGCUGAGUCCUCCUGUUUUGUCAUCGCUGGGCCCUGUAAGAAGUUUGCCAGGAGGUCCCCAGAAGUAGAAGGACCAUAGCAAUGAACUGUCUUCCUACCCAAUUCAUAUAUUCAGCCCUUGUUUCUACUGAGAUAUGUCUCCAGCCAUUAAGUUGUCUCUGGUCAUGGAGUUUCAUCACAGCAAUAGGAACCCUAAGACAUACAUACCUGUAAUCUGGAAUUGGACGUGGGAGGACCGAGAGUUCAAGGUCACUCUUGGUUAUUUAAUGAGACUGAGCUGCCACACAUUUGGAAAACUUGUAUAUUUAUGUAAAGCUCCAAUAUCCAGUCUCAAGGAUGACUCAGUAUGGUAAAGACCCUCGCUGCCAGGCUUGAUGACUUACGCUUGAGUCCUGGAUCCCACAUGGUGGAAAAGUCAACUUUCACAAGUUUUUGACCUUCACAGUAGUCACAUACAAACAACAAAACCCUAGUUUGGGACCGUAGAGAUGGCUCAGCCAUCGUCUGUUGAGAGCCCUUCACAUAGCUUCUCACAACUGCCUGUAACUCCUGUUUCCAGGGAGUUGGUGCACAUGUAUAACAUGUGCACUCAUACACGUGAAAAUAAAUGGAUCUUUAAAAUACAAAAAUAAAAACAAAGUUUUAGGUUGGUCCUGU
ensembl:lncRNA LOC103691527 uncharacterized LOC103691527